rnacentral:rRNA from 1 species
AAGGUAUUGUAAUAAGGCUUUAAUUGAGCGCUAAGAGAAUGGAUUUUCAAGAAAAUUCUUUUUUAAAUUUAAAAAUUGAAGUUAUUUUUAUUUGUGAAGAAACAACAAUAAAAAUUAAAGACAAGAAGACCCUAUGAAUUUUUUUAAAACACAAUUAAUAUUAUAAUUGUAUUUUAAUUAAUUGGGGCGAUUAAAAAAAAUUAUAAACUUUUUAUAAAAAUAAAAUGAUCCACAAAUUGUGAUUUUAUGAAAUAAAUACUCUAGGGAUAACAGCGUAAUAAUUUUAGAUAGAUCAUAUAGAAAAAAUAGUUUGCGACCUCGAUGUUGGAUUAGGAUACUUUUUUAAUGAAGAAGUAAAAAAAGAA